rnacentral:misc_RNA from 1 species
GUGAAUCAUCGAAUCUUUGAACGCAAAUUGCACUCUCUGGUAUUCCGGAGAGUAUGCCGGUUUGAGGGUCAGUAUAAAUAAAAAUCGGAGUGGUUGUUGCUUUUAGUGGUGAGGCAUUGGAUUUGGGUGGUUUUGCCUGAGGUUAAGUGACGUUAAUUUUUGCUUGAUUUUUUUCGUAUGAAUUUAAAUGAUGUUACGUACGUUUGGGUUAUAUAAUACUGG